GAGAGAGAGAGAGAGAGAGACAGAUUUCAAAGGUGAAAUAUCAUAUUAGAAGGCAAAAUGAAAUAACAAGAUAAGCUAAAAUAACAGCUCAACAAUUUUCUGUUUUGCUCCACAACAAGAAAAAGGAAGAUAAACACGUGGCCUUUCAUCAUAUGCAAGGACUGAGGAGUCGAGAUCAAACAGAAAAAAAUAUUUUAAUUGAAUCAUGUUAAAUAAUGGAAAACAUCUCCAUUAUUGCCGCAAAUACGCCAGUAUGCAAUGCUCAAUACCAUAUGCAUACAUCAUGUUGAUACUUGAUAACAAUUGCCAUUUUAGCUUAUAAUUUGGUGGCAUAUUGAAACAAAGUUUACCAAUCUAAAUGUUUCAGAAACUACUUUUAGUGA
rnacentral:misc_RNA from 1 species